rnacentral:rRNA from 1 species
GACGAACCGUGCGAACGUUAUUCGGAAUUAUUGGGCUUAAAGGGCGCGUAGGCGGCCGUUUAAGUGGGGGGUGAAAUCCUGGCGGCUCAACCGCGGGAGUGCCUUCCAUACUGGGCGGCUAUGAGGGAGGUAGGGGCCGGUGGAACUUCCGGUGGAGCGGUGAAAUGUGUUGAGAUCGGAAGGAACGCCUGUGGCGAAAGCGACCGGCUGGACCUUUUCCUGACGCUGAGGCGCGAAAGCCAGGGGAGCAAACGGG